UUCACGGAGAGUUUGAUCCUGGCUCAGGACGAACGCUGGCGGCGUGCUUAACACAUGCAAGUCGAGCGGUGAACCGCCCUUCGGGGCGGGGAUCAGCGGCGAACGGGUGAGUAACACGUGGGCAACCUGCCCUCAGCUUUGGGAUAACCCCGGGAAACCGGGGCUAAUACCGGAUACGACCUCUGGCCGGCAUCGGCUGAGGUGGAAAGUUCCGGCGGCUGAGGAUGGGCCCGCGGCCUAUCAGCUAGUUGGUGGGGUAACGGCCUACCAAGGCGACGACGGGUAGCCGGCCUGAGAGGGCGACCGGCCACACUGGGACUGAGACACGGCCCAGACUCCUACGGGAGGCAGCAGUGGGGAAUCUUGCGCAAUGGGCGAAAGCCUGACGCAGCAACGCCGCGUGAGGGAUGAAGGCCUUCGGGUUGUAAACCUCUUUCAGCAGGGACGAAGCGAAAGUGACGGUACCUGCAGAAGAAGCACCGGCCAACUACGUGCCAGCAGCCGCGGUAAUACGUAGGGUGCAAGCGUUGUCCGGAAUUAUUGGGCGUAAAG
rnacentral:rRNA from 1 species